rnacentral:rRNA from 1 species
AGCAGCCGCGGUAAUUCCAGCUCCAAUAGCGUAUAUUAAAGUUGUUGCAGUUAAAAAGCUCGUAGUUGAAUUUCGGGAUCAAUAUGUUGGUCGUGCCAUUGGUACGUACUGGCAUUAUUGGUUUCUACCUUCUGAAGAACCUCGAUGUCAUUAAUUUGGUGUCUUGGGGAAUCAGGACUGUUACUUUGAAAAAAUUAGAGUGUUUAAAGCAAGCUCGCGCUUGAAUACAUUAGCAUGGAAUAAUGAAAUAGGACGUUUGAUUCUAUUUUGUUGGUUUCUAGGAUUGACGUAAUGAUUAAUAGGGAUAGUUGGGGGCAUUAGUAUUCAAUUGUCAGAGGUGAAAUUCUUGGAUUUAUUGAAGACUAACUACUGCGAAAGCAUUUGCCAAGGAUGUUUUCAUUAAUCAAGGACGAAAGUUAGGGGAUCGAAGACGAUCAGAUACCGUCGUAGUCUUAACCAUAAACUAUGCCGACUAGGGAUCGGAUGAUGUUAAUUUUUAAUGACUCAUUCGGCGUACCCG